CAACAGGGAUUGCCCUAGUAACGGCGAGUGAAGCGGCAACAGCUCAAAUUUGAAAUCUGGCGCAAGCCCGAGUUGUAAUUUGUAGAGGAUGCUUCUGGGUAGCGACCGAUCUAAGUUCCUUGGAACAGGACGUCAUAGAGGGUGAGAAUCCCGUAUGUGACCGGCCCGCACCCUUUACGUAGCUCCUUCGACGAGUCGAGUUGUUUGGGAAUGCAGCUCUAAAUGGGAGGUAAAUUUCUUCUAAAGCUAAAUACCGGCCAGAGACCGAUAGCGCACAAGUAGAGUGAUCGAAAGAUGAAAAGUACUUUGGAAAGAGAGUUAAAAAGCACGUGAAAUUGUUGAAAGGGAAGCGCCUGCAACCAGACUUCGCGGCAGUGUUCCGCCGGUCUUCUGACCGGUUCAUUCUCUGUCGCGAGGCCAUCAUCGUCUGGGCCCGCCGGAUAAGACCUGAGGAAUGUGGCUCCCCCUCGGGGGAGUGUUAUAGCCUCUGGUGAUGCGGCGUGGCUCGGGCGAGGUCCGCGCUUCGGCAAGGAUGAUGGCGUAAUGGUUGUCGGCGGCCCGUCUUGAAACACGGACCAAGGAGUCUAACAUCUAUGCGAGUGUUCGGGUGUCAAACCCCUACGCGUAAUGAAAGUGAACGGAGGUGGGAACCGCAAGGUGCACCAUCGACCGAUCCUGAUGUCCUCGGAUGGAUUUGAGUAAGAGCAUAGCUGUUGGGACCCGAAAGAUGGUGAACUAUGCCUGAAUAGGGUGAAGCCAGAGGAAACUCUGGUGGAGGCUCGCAGCGGUUCUGACGUGCAAAUCGAUCGUCAAAUUUGGGUAUAGGGGCGAAAGACU
rnacentral:rRNA from 1 species